rnacentral:rRNA from 1 species
CUAAACCUAAAGGCGCAAUGAAAGUGAAGGUCCCGCCUUGUGCGGACCGAGGGAAGAUGGGGCGUGCUCCUGCACGACUCCCGCAUUCCCGGGGCGUCUCGUUCUCAUUGCGAGUUGAGGCGCACCCAGAGCGUACACGUUGGGACCCGAAAGAUGGUGAACUAUGCCUGGCCAGGACGAAGUCAGGGGAAACCCUGAUGGAGGUCCGUAGCGAUUCUGACGUGCAAAUCGAUCGUCGGAGCUGGGUAUAGGGGCGAAAGACUAAUCGAACCAUCUAGUAGCUGGUUCCCUCCGAAGUUUCCCUCAGGAUAGCUGGUGCUCGAACGAGUCUCAUCCGGUCAAGCGAAUGAUUAGAGGCCUUGGGGCCGAAACGACCUCAACCUAUUCUCAAACUUUAAAUGGGUGAGAUCUCCGGCUUGCUUAAAGCAAUGAAGCCGCGAGACCUUUUUGGAUCGGAGUGCCAAGUGGGCCACUUUUGGUAAGCAGAACUGGCGCUGUGGGAUGAACCAAACGCAGAGUUAAGGCGCCCGAAUAGACGCUCAUGGGAAACCAUGAAAGGCGUUGGUUGCUUAAGACAGCAGGACGGUGGCCAUGGAAGUCGGAAUCCGCUAAGGAGUGUGUAACAACUCACCUGCCGAAGCAACUAGCCCUGAAAAUGGAUGGCGCUGAAGCGUCUUGCCUAUACUCUGCCGUCAGCACGGCAAUGAGGGGUGCGCGGUUCGCUUCGGCGGGCCCGCCCCGUGAGGCCCUGACGAGUAGGAGGGUCGCGGCGGUGAGCGCAGAAGGGUCUAGGCGUGAGCCUGCCUGGAGCCGCCGUCGGUGCAGAUCUUGGUGGUAGUAGCAAAUACUCCAGCGAGGCCCUGGAGGACUGACGUGGAGAAGGGUUUCGUGUGAACAGCCGUUGCACACGAGUCAGUCGAUCCUAAGCCCUAGGAGAAAUCCGAUGUCGAUGGGGUCCGAGACUGUGAGUUAGGACCCCAUGGGGCGAAAGGGAAUCCGGUUCCUAUUCCGGAACCCGGCAGCGGAACCGUAAUAAGUCGGGCCCCUCGCAAGAGAAGCUCGUCGGGGUAACCCAAAAGGACCCGGAGACGCCGUCGGGAGAUCGGGGAAGAGUUUUCUUUUCUGCAUGAGCGUUCGAGUUCCCUGGAAUCCUCUAGCAGGGAGAUAGGGUUUGGAACGCGAAGAGCACCGCAGUUGCGGCGGUGUCCCGAUCUUCCCCUCGGACCUUG